GGAUAACUUACCCUUAGGACUGGGAUAACUCUGGGAAACUGGGGAUAAUACUGGAUAUUAGGCUAUGCCUGGAAUGGUUUGCCUUUGAAAUGUUUUUUCGCCUAAGGAUAGGUCUGCGGCUGAUUAGGUCGUUGGUGGGGUAAUGGCCCACCAAGCCGAUGAUCGGUACGGGUUGUGAGAGCAAGGGCCCGGAGAUGGAACCUGAGACAAGGUUCCAGACCCUACGGGGUGCAGCAGGCGCGAAACCUCCGCAAUGUACGAAAGUGCGACGGGGGGAUCCCAAGUGUUAUGCUUUUUUGUAUGACUUUUCAUUAGUGUAAAAAGCUUUUAGAAUAAGAGCUGGGCAAGACCGGUGCCAGCCGCCGCGGUAACACCGGCAGCUCGAGUGGUAGCUGUUUUUAUUGGGCCUAAAGCGUUCGUAGCCGGUUUGAUAAGUCUUUGGUGAAAGCUUGUAGCUUAACUAUAAGAAUUGCUGGAGAUACUAUUAGACUUGAAGUCGGGAGAGGUUAGAGGUACUACCGGGGUAGGGGUGAAAUCCUAUAAUCCUGGGAGGACCACCUGUGGCGAAGGCGUCUAACUGGAACGAUCUUGACGGUGAGUAACGAAAGCCAGGGGCGCGAACCGGAUUAGAUACCCGGGUAGUCCUGGCCGUAA
rnacentral:rRNA from 1 species